GAAAGAUGAUCAGGUUGAUAGGUCUGAGGUGGAAGUGUGGCGACACAUGGAGCUGACAGAUACUAAUCGAUCGAGGACUUAACCAC
rnacentral:rRNA from 1 species